UACGUAGGGGGCAAGCGUUGUCCGGAUUUAUUGGGCGUAAAGAGCGUGUAGGCGGCCAGGUAGGUCUGCUGUGAAAACUCGAGGCUUAACCUCGAGCUGUCGGCGGAAACCAUCUGGCUAGAGUCCGGAAGGGGAGAAUGGAAUUCCCGGUGUAGCGGUGAAAUGCGCAGAUAUCGGGAAGAACACCCGUGGCGAAGGCGGUUCUCUGGGACGGUACUGACGCUGGAGACGCGAAAGCGUGGGGAGCGAACAGG
rnacentral:rRNA from 1 species